GUACCGUGAGGGAAAGGCGAAAAGAACCCCGGCGAGGGGAGUGAAAAAGAACCUGAAACCGUGUACGUACAAGCAGUGGGAGCACCCUUCGGGGUGUGACUGCGUACCUUUUGUAUAAUGGGUCAGCGACUUAUAUUCUGUAGCAAGGUUAACCGUAUAGGGGAGCCGGAGGGAAACCGAGUCUUAAUUGGGCGUUAAGUUGCAGGGUAUAGACCCGAAACCCGGUGAUCUAGCCAUGGGCAGGUUGAAGGUUGGGUAACACUAACUGGAGGACCGAACCGACUAAUGUUGAAAAAUUAGCGGAUGACCUGUGGCUGGGGGUGAAAGGCCAAUCAAACCGGGAGAUAGCUGGUUCUCCCCGAAAGCUAUUUAGGUAGCGCCUCGUGAAUUCAUCUCCGGGGGUAGAGCACUGUUUCGGCUAGGGGGCCAUCCCGGCUUACCAACCCGAUGCAAACUGCGAAUACCGGAGAAUGUUAUCACGGGAGACACACGGCGGGUGCUAACGUCCGUCGUGAAGAGGGAAACAACCCAGACCGCCAGCUAAGGUCCCAAAGUCAUGGUUAAGUGGGAAACGAUGUGGGAAGGCCCAGACAGCCAGGAUGUUGGCUUAGAAGCAGCCAUCAUUUAAAGAAAGCGUAAUAGCUCACUGGUCGAGUCGGCCUGCGCGGAAGAUGUAACGGGGCUAAACCAUGCACCGAAGCUGCGGCAGCGAACGUAUCACCCAAGACAACUUUACGGAGUUGACGAUUGACGGAGCGAAGCGACGUCAAAGCGUUCAUUAAAGUCGAGUUGGCUUAGGGAUACGUUCGUUGGGUAGGGGAGCGUUCUGUAAGCCUGUGAAGGUGUGUCGUGAGGCAUGCUGGAGGUAUCAGAAGUGCGAAUGCUGACAUAAGUAACGAUAAAGCGGGUGAAAAGCCCGCUCGCCGGAAGACCAAGGGUUCCUGUCCAACGUUAAUCGGGGCAGGGUGAGUCGACCCCUAAGGCGAGGCCGAAAGGCGUAGUCGAUGGGAAACGGGUUAAUAUUCCCGUACUUGGUGUUACUGCGAAGGGGGGACGGAGAAGGCUAUGUUGGCCGGGCGACGGUUGUCCCGGUUUAAGCGUGUAGGUGUGUGUUCCAGGUAAAUCCGGUU
rnacentral:rRNA from 1 species